UCCGGUAUGGUGUAGUGGCUAACAUUUCGCGCUCUCAUAACUUGAGAUACCAAGUACCGCGGAGCCCAGGGUUCGAUUCCCUGUACCGGAG
rnacentral:tRNA from 1 species